GAGUUUGAUCUUGGCUCAGAUUGAACGCUGGCGGCAGGCCUAACACAUGCAAGUCGAGCGGAUGAGAGGAGCUUGCUCCUUGAUUCAGCGGCGGACGGGUGAGUAAUGCCUAGGAAUCUGCCUGAUAGUGGGGGACAACGUUUCGAAAGGAACGCUAAUACCGCAUACGUCCUACGGGAGAAAGCAGGGGACCUUCGGGCCUUGCGCUAUCAGAUGAGCCUAGGUCGGAUUAGCUAGUAGGUGAGGUAACGGCUCACCUAGGCGACGAUCCGUAACUGGUCUGAGAGGAUGAUCAGUCACACUGGAACUGAGACACGGUCCAGACUCCUACGGGAGGCAGCAGUGGGGAAUAGUUAGGACAAUGGGCGAAAGCCUGAUCCAGCCAUGCCGCGUGUGUGAAGAAGGUCUUCGGAUUGUAAAGCACUUUAAGUUGGGAGAGGGCUGCAGUU
rnacentral:rRNA from 1 species